AUCAAAAAACACAUCAAAAAAGCAAUUGUAUCUAUACAACUGUUAAUAUAUGUGGUACAUGUUGAAGCAGUUCAAAUUUACUGUUUUAUAUUCUAGAACAACUAUUUGAAAAUAAUUAAGGUCCUCUAAUAUUCCAUAGAGCUUCUUCAGGCAAUUGGCUAACAUUAUAAUUAGCCAAUUGCAUUACUACUCAUGUAAAAUUUGGUCUACUUUUAUACAUUAAAUUCAAAUCCAAAUUAAUGUCUUCAGAAACUUCCAUCUUCAAAUUCUCCUUCAUAAUCCAAUUUGACGUCUUCAUGUUGUGGUGACUUUGGCACUGAUCAAUGACUUCUCAACCUCUAUAUAAGAAUUAAGGAUUAUUUGAAGACAUGUGUAUGGAAUUGCAAGUUUUGAAGAUGAUUUUCUUCUUAAAUUGGAACCCUUCAGCCUUGACUCGUCUUCUGCAAUCCACACAUGGAUAGUAAUACAUAAACUUGAUAGAAGAAAUUCUGAUUAAGAUCUAUAUUCACUAACAUCUUGAACGGAAACAUAUAUAUAUAUAUAUAUAUAUAUAUAUAUAUAUAUAUAUAUAUAUAUAUAUAUAUAUAUAUAUAUAUAUAUAUAUAUAUAUAUAUAUAUAUAUAUAUAUAUAUAUAUAUAUAUAUAUGUGUGUGUGUGUGUGUAUGUGUGUGUGUGUGUGUGUGUGUGUGNNNNNNNNNNNNNNNNNNNNNNNNNNNNNNNNNNNNNNNNNNNNNNNNNNNNNNNNNNNNNNNNNNNNNNNNNNNNNNNNNNNNNNNNNNNNNNNNNNNNAUGACCCUUUCCUUGGAACAAGAAGCACGAUGUGGCACUGCGCGACAAGUUCUUUCUGGAUAGCAAACCCGAUUCUCCUAAAUACAUAUUCGUUCGAACCUGCAGUCAUCACGUUGCUAUCUAUUAUCUUCUGCACUCUCUUGAGGAGCUCAACUGCUUCUGAGCCUAGCAAUCCAAAUGUGUCAAAUGCAAAGGGGAUGAAACUAUGUUGGUUAGCCCUAUAAGCUCCGUCAUGUUUCUCCACUUUUGCCGCUGCUGCAUUGCUAGCUGCUAGCCCCACCUUAAAAAUCCCAGCACUCAGCCCAACCAUCGGAGACGCCCCCGUAACAUCAACACACGCAUCUUUACCUUCAGACCAGUUGUAGACCAGAAUAUCAGCAGGACGUAAUGUCGAUCUUCCUUCCUUAGGAUCAGUAAGAAAAUUAACAGGAGCCUCCUUCUUAACCUGUACGCCAGCCUGCCAGAACACAUCACACAAGAUAUCUCUAACGUGGUCAUGCUUGUAUUUGAAGCCGGGGUAAUGCUUACAAUGGGCCGCAUGAUCCCCGAAAGCAUCAAGUCUACUCUUCUUGCACACUGGACAAAGCUCACCAUCUGAAUAUAGAGGGAUCAUCAAUCGAUAACGAAAAAUGGCACAAUAUUCUACAGGCGUCAUGCGUUGUCCAAGCCCUUCCAUCGGGAUAGCAAGGAGAAAAUCUUUGGCAUGUUCUUACUGUACACAUCCAAUCACGGCUUUUUGUCUAGCUGAUGACAACUCAAAUUCCCUCUCAAGACCAGAACUAAUCUUGUUGUAGUAUGCUUCCGCGAAAACAUGUUGGGGUCUGAAGGGGACGGUAGCAGUUGGAGCAAGAAUAUUGAGAUCAAAAUCAGGUAUAGAAAGAUGUAAACUAGCAAUGGCAGUAUCGAAAACAUUACCCAUAGGUGGAGUGUCACAACCUCGAAGAAUGUGGUCCUGGAGAUCCUUGGUUUGCGUACGUGAAGCUACGAAAGCAAACUUCAUAACAUCAGUAGCACAAUAGAUACCAAGUCCACCCAUACGUAAUGGGAGGGUUGCCAUACGCCACUGUAGAUCGCCAAAACCAGGUCCAUCAGAAACCACAAUAUUUUGAAGGGCUGCACGAAGCUUGUGGUCAAACCAUUCGGCUGUUUCCUGAACAUAAUCAGGGGGGCAAGUACGGAGAGCAAAGGUGAGUUUAGAUAAUCCCAUACAAGAACGUAAAAGUGCCAACUCACACUGCGGAUCCUUCAGCUGUGGUAAUAAGUUCAUAAGUUGAAGUGUCUUAUCCACUCGUUGACGAACAUUACCCACAAUAAAUGAUGCAUCAAUACUUACAACCCCUCCAAGCAACUUAACCCCUCGCUGAGGACAUGAUAUACCAACCGGAAAGAUAUCUGGAUAGGAGCAGUCAGGAUCAACAGAAGGCCAGAACAACUCUGUCUUAGACACAUUAAGCACGAGCCCAAAAGAUGGUCCUCUUUCCUGAAUGAUACGAAUAACUCUAGCCACAUGUUCUGUACUACCAAUCAGAGUACCAUCAUCUAAGUACCAUGCCUGCAACUCCAAGUGGCAUUCUGACUGAAUGCGGUGUAUCAAUGGAUGGAAGACCAAAGCAAAGAGAAGAGGCCCCAAAGGGUCCCCCUGCUGUAUCUCAGCUGCUGACCAAAUAUGAGUAGACCCUAGAUACAAUCGAGCAGGUUGACAAUAGAGGUAUUCGACCUAUAGAGCAAUAGAUGGACAAUGAUUGCGUACCUCCCGUAGUAUAGCAGACCGAUCAACAAGGUUGAAGGCAUUCUGAAAGUCCACAAGCAGCAUAGAAAGCGAUGUGUCAUCCUUGUUGGCAUAAACCAACCGAUUAACAGCAUGCAAAAUUGCCUCUGCUCCACCAGGCACACCAACCCCAAACUGAAAAUCCUCUAGGUAUGGGACAAUAUCCUUAGAAACUCCUCUCAUGGCAAUCUUAGACACCAGUCGACGCCAAACCAUACCCACAGCUAUUGGGCGAAUGCCGUUACCUGGCUUAAGAAGUGGGGUGAGCGGUGUACUAGCUAUGAACUCUGCCAAGACCCGUGGGCAUCGACCUUGUAGCCAUAAGUUCACAACCGGUGUCAAGGCCUCCAUAAGAUCUGUGGCUACAGCUGAUGCAGCCCCACUCAUAGCAUCCAAUAGGUGUUGGGCCCGGAGACCAUCUCACCCACAAGACGUCCCUUUGGGGAAGGACAUGAUGCAUGAUAAUAUCCCAUCCCUCUCAACUGACAAACGUGACUCAAGUAAAGGAAUGUCGGGGACAGAUGGUAGUGGAUGCUUCGGGUGUUUAUCCUCUAAAGCCCGCUGCGUCUCUGGAGUGUUCGGAGCAACCCCUGAUGAUGCCAACACCUUCACGACUGCUGCAAAGUGCCCGUCUGCAACCUUUUGCAAACACCGUCGUACAUUCUUGCUUUGGGACUGUCGAGAUGGUUGUUCCAACGGAGGCUCUGUAUGUGUGACCCUCUCAAUCAGACGAAAUAUACCCCCAGGCUCGUUCCAAAUAGAGAGAGCCUGCAAAAUUUGAUUCUACUGGAGAUAUUUCCUAGCACCAGAACGACGCUCUUGACGAUUCUGCGGAUGGAACACUUGCAAUGUGCAAUAGGGAAGCAGGAGCAAUCUAACCCAUGGCCCUGUCGACAUGGGGUCUGCAGUGACCUCAUACAAGACUGACUUCAAUGCACAGGAGAAUGCUAAUCGACAAGGACGAGGAAUACUUUUCACCGUGCGAAAAGGUUUACAGAAAAUACGAUCAAGUGAUAUCUCAUCUAAAGAAGGUGCAACAAUAGAAAGGUGAGUAUCAAUACCAGUGUCCCCUCCUGCUGUAGGUGCGGGUGGAUUAUCAACAUGCACAAGCUGUGGUGGUUGUAUACCUACAAUUGCACACUCUAACUCACCGGUCUCCUUUCGCGCAGGUAGUUUGAUGACUGCACCAUCCGGAUGUUUACAUUUUAUGGUCGAUGCAUGGAUACCAAAACAAUCACCACACAUCCAUUUGUUCAUCCUCUUCAAAGUAUUGUCAAGCGACGAAAAUAAACCUAUAUCAACUUUGAUCGCAUCUCUCAGCCUGUUGAUGUCAUUAACCCUCUUCUAGUGAUCUUUCUUAACAUGCGUUGGGAUGUACGAAGAUUUGUAUCCAUUUCCACACGGUCCAUUGGUGCAUCCAUCAAAAUUUCGAAAUGGACAAUGGAUACUCUCCAUCAAGCAGCCAAUUUUUUUUUUUUUUUUUUUUUUUGUGGCUUGGCUGGCUUGAACUGCUGGUUCUGCUGGUCUGGCUACCGGUUUGGCUGGUUCGGCUGGUCUGGCUACCGGUUUGGCUGGUUCGGCUGGUCUGGCUGCUGGUUCAGCUGGUCUGGCUGACUGGCUUGGACUGUUGGUUCGGCUGGUUUGGCUAGAUGUAUCAGCUCGGCUCGGCUGGCUAUUGACUCGGCUUAGGUGGCUUAGAUGGCUUAGAUCGGCUCGGCUCAGAUCUGAGCAGCCAAAUUUACGAGAGAGGAGGCGUUUAGUUUUUUUUGUUUUUUAAAUCGGGUGGGGAUUGGAGGGAGGGGAAGAGAAGGUUGUUGGUGGGGGGAAGGGGAAGAGAAGGUAGAUGGGGUGGUAGGGAAGGAAAGAAGAUUGUGGUGGUGGUGGUGAUGGAGAGGGAGGUUGCUGGUGGUGGUAAGGGAAAGGGAAAGGGGGAAGAAGAGAUGGUGGUUGUGAUGUGAUGUAGAGGUUGUUGGUGGUGGUAGGGGGGAAUGGGAAGAAGGUUGCUAGUGGCGACGGCUGGUCACGGAGGAGGUGACCUCAUGGGAAUUUUUUUUUUUUUUUAAAAAAAAAAGAAUAAAUUUUUUGUGUCUUACAUACAAAUUCGUGAUACCUUACUGAGCAUUUUCUUUUUCUUUAAACCAAUAAUUCAAUUAUAAAUUAUGACCCAAGAUUUAUGCUUUAGCCUUAUUGAGAUCUCGAAAAGUUUGUGAAUUUGAUGGUCAUGUAAUUUCUUUUAAACAUCAACCUAGACUUCACCGAAAUGGUACAUGUUAAUGGUUUAAGCUUGUGUUAUCGGACCUUUUACUAUGGUCAAUCCCAACUUGUUAAUGGUUUUAUGAAUUUGAGUUAGCAAUUAGAUUCUGUACAAUAGUAAUGCAGCAACAACAAAAGUGGAGAAACAUGACGGAGUUUGUAGGGCUAACCAACAUAGUUUCAUCCUCUUUGCAUUUGACACAUUUGGAUUGUUAGACUCAGAAGCAGUUGACCUCUUCAAAAGUGUGCAGAAGAUAAUGGAUAACAACGUGAUGACUGUGGGUUCGAACGAAUAUAUAUUUAGAAGAAUCGGGUUUGCUAUCCAGAAAGGACUUUCCGCGCAGUUUGUAGCGCGUUUGUCCUCUACUUUUGUAUAAUUCGUUGAGCUUAUCAAUAAAAUUUGUUACAUAAUUUAUAAAAAAAAAAAAAAAAAAAAUAUAUUGAUUGGGAAGUUUUUACGUACAAAGAAAUCCAAUAAGUAUGAUGACAUUACAUUGUUGGACUAUGUGGAAGACCUAACACAAACUUUAGCUUAUACAUUAACACAAACAAUCUUGUCCUCUUAUACACUCUAAAACAAACAAUCUAGUCCAUCCUUUAUCUAGAGGAAACAAUGUCAUGAAUGGUACACAUUCAUUGAUUCUAUAGUAAAACCAAAAUCAACCUAAUAAAUUAUAGAUACACUAAAUUUGUAAUCAAUCCUAGAGAUAACUGACUCGAUCUUCAAAUAGAUCGAUAAAGGAUAACAAAGGUACCUCACAACCAUUUUUGUGCAACAAAAUUUUAUUUACCUCAAAAAGCCAGACAGAUAAAAUGUUAUUUUACACAAUGAAGCUUAGGGAUGGCUUACCUGGAUAUUGGGUUGUGGAGUUUCAUCACAACCAUAAUUCUGCAAGAACACUACAAUUUUGUUACGAAGUACUUGAGCACGAAAAAUAAAUAACCCACAAAAUUUUGAGAUAAGCAUCAAUAAGAUUAUCUAAAGGGUACAUGGCAAUCAAAUAUUUUGAUUGAAUGGAAAAAACUUCAAUAACACAAUCACUGAGAAAAGACUUUUUGGCUUCCUUCCUCCUCUAUAACAUAUAUGCCACAGGCCACAACCAUUAUAACUUUUAACUCAAGAUCGACUUCAAUUUGCUUAACUAAAGUUAGAAAUACGAAAGACUCUAACUCAAUUGUCAGAUCAUCUUUCUCAACUCCAUCAGGUUUUCCCAUCUCUCUAGCAGUCUCUCCCUAACUUACAGUCUCUUCACAGAAAAUAGUUACUAAAAUCGGUGUGUCAGAGUUUGACUAUGACUCUGAACGAAAUACAAACACCUAGAUAUUUAUUGUGAUAUUAGUUCGGUUUCAUAGAGUUCAUUUACAUUGAGUCUUAUUGGGCACUCAAAGAAACCAACAAUAUUCUCGAUAAAAUUGUUAGCCCAUUACACUAAUGUCACUUGACAAAACCAAUACCUUUGAGAAGAUGGUAGAAGGAUGAAAUUUUGAUAUAUAAGAAUGAAGUUAUUGUUCACAAUUUCAUAACUAAUUGGAGGUCGCCAAGAUGAGAGUCUUUAACUUUGUCGUAUCAUUAGUUUAAUUCAACUGAGACAUUGAGAACACAUGGUUUACUCAUUUAUUUGGGGUGGCGGCUUACACUAUUUAAUUAGUCAAAUCUUUCGCUACUGAUCAUGAAGCCUAUAAAGUAAAGAAAAGUUUGUGACGAUAAGGAUAACGACUUUUUUUUAAUAUAUCACAAAAGUUCUAUAUUUAACCUUUUGGUGAAAGGACCAAAUUUUUGUGGAAGCACACUUUUACCUCAGAAUGAGAUUCUACUAUUAUUUAUAAGACAUAACAAAGUGCAUAUCAAAGGCAAAGGAUGAGCAGGGUGUAACAGAUGUUUUUUCCUAGUAUUGUACUAAAUGGAGGAUUUACAAAUUCGUUAAUAUCAUAAUCGAUAAAUGCAUUAGCCAGGAAAUCGGGAAUAAAACAACUGCAAAGACAUCCCAUAAUCCAUGUCUCUUAGGACGAAAACUCAAACCUUUCACUCGAUUACUCCUUGUUUCAAAUUUCAUCUGUGUGUUUUCGAAUUCAAAUCCACAUUUGCAUUAAUUACUAUUAUGUUUAUGUGAGGUUAAUUAUCACAAUGAUAUUGAGGGGAAAAGAACACAAUUUUAUACAUAAUAAAUUACUACUAUUGUGUAGCAUGACUACUCACCAUCAUUGUUGUUUGAGUUUUGUUUCACAAAAAGCAUAAACCGUACAACCCAUUGCAAAACAAAAAAUAAAAUAAAAUAAAACUAAUAAUAAUAAUUACAUCCAAAGGUUUAGUUUCUUCAUUAUUGAAAGAUUCUACAGUUUCUGGUAUCUUUGAAUUUCUAAUUGGCGCAAAAUCUUCAAUUUAAAUGUAUUUUAACAAUCAUAAAUAUGAUAGAAUCACAUUUAAUAUUUAAACAUUCGUGAUAGACACACCUAGUUCACAGAAGGAACAGAUUCGCGGAAGACUAAUUCGAGAUUGGAGAGUAUUAUUCUCUGCAAUAAAAAAAAACAUAAGAAAAUUUUUGUUAGGCAGGCAAAAAGGAAACAAAUCUGUCAUAGAAAAGUGGCAUUUUUUUGCAAAGGAAAGAAGAAGCCAAUUUAUUGGAUAUUAGGUAUAUACAAUAACUUUUUGUCUUCAAUGCACCUGUGAGGUGUUUGCUUAGAUAAUCUAAUAAUAAAAGAAUUUGUAAGAAGAAUCCCCCUCGUCUUUGCAAUUUGAGAUUUAUGCUCCACAUAAAUUACAUGAUUAGAAAAAUUAGCUUUUGUUAAUUGAAAAAUAAAUAAUUUAACAGUUUGUGUUUAUCUCCUCACAAUUGAACAUACCUUGCACUGACUUGGUUCAUCAUUUAGAAGCAAUUAAGUGGAAAGUGGAUUCUCAUCAUCAAAUUCUGAGUUAAUUGUUGAUGAAUGCAUGUAAUAAUCUGAUUGACUCUGUGAAAUCUCGGGCGCACAACAAAAAAUUCCCCUCAAUCUUACUGAGAGGUGGAGAAAUUAUGAAAAUGGGACAUGAAUGAAUAUCCACAAAAUCCAAUGCAUAGAGGUCCAAUGUAAAAUUAUAAGAAUUGAAAAGGUUGGAGGGGAAGAUAGAUGUAUGUAUUGAGUGGAUCUUCAUUCAUUAUAGCAGAUGGUGGAAGUAUUACAAUGGAGAUUGGGGAAGAAGAAGGCUUUUUGGAGUAGACUCUGAAGGAAGGAAGGAGGAGAAGUGACUUUGAGAAGGAAGACCAGAAGAGACGUUUUUU
rnacentral:lncRNA from 1 species